rnacentral:rRNA from 1 species
CCCAUGCAGCGCGGCAUAUAAUGCAGNUCGAGCGCAGGAACUGACGGAACUCUUCGGAGGGAAGGCAGCGGAAUGAGCGGCGGACGGGUGAGUAACACGUAAGGAACCUGCCUCAAGGAUUGGGAUAACUCCGAGAAAUCGGAGCUAAUACCGGAUAGUUCAUCGGACCGCAUGGUCCGUUGAUGAAAGGCGCUUCGGCGUCACCUUGAGAUGGCCUUGCGGUGCAUUAGCUAGUUGGUGGGGUAACGGCCCACCAAGGCGACGAUGCAUAGCCGACCUGAGAGGGUGAUCGGCCACACUGGGACUGAGACACGGCCCAGACUCCUACGGGAGGCAGCAGUAGGGAAUCUUCCACAAUGGACGAAAGUCUGAUGGAGCAACGCCGCGUGAGUGAUGAAGGUUUUCGGAUCGUAAAACUCUGUUGUAAGGGAAGAACACGUACGAGAGGAAAUGCUCGUACCUUGACGGUACCUUACGAGAAAGCCACGGCUAACUACGUGCCAGCAGCGNCGGGUAAUAAA